GCCUGGGUGGCUCAGUUGGUUAAGCACCUGCCUUCGGUUCAGGUCUGGUCUCUGGGUCCCGGGAUCGAGCCCCGCCUCAGGCU